rnacentral:rRNA from 1 species
CUACGUGCCAGCAGCCGCGGUAAUACGGAAGGUCCGGGCGUUAUCCGGAUUUAUUGGGUUUAAAGGGAGCGUAGGCCGGAGAUUAAGUGUGUUGUGAAAUGUAGACGCUCAACGUCUGACUUGCAGCGCAUACUGGUUUCCUUGAGUACGCACAACGUUGGCGGAAUUCGUCGUGUAGCGGUGAAAUGCUUAGAUAUGACGAAGAACUCCGAUUGCGAAGGCAGCUGACGGGAGCGCAACUGACGCUUAAGCUCGAAGGUGCGGGUAUCGAACAGGAUUAGAUACCCUGGUAGUCCGCACAGUAAACGAUGGAUGCUCGCUGUUGGUACCUGGUAUCAGCGGCUAAGCGAAAGCAUUAAGCAUCCCACCUGGGGAGUACACCGGCAACGGUGAAACUCAAAGGAAUUGACGGGGGCCCGCACAAGCGGAGGAACAUGUGGUUUAAUUCGAUGAUACGCGAGGAACCUUACCCGGGCUUGAA